GCCUACGGGGCGCAGCAGUAGGGAAUCUUCCACAAUGGGCGAAAGCCUGAUGGAGCAACGCCGCGUGGGUGAAGAAGGUCUUCGGAUCGUAAAACCCUGUUGUUAGAGAAGAAAGUGCGUGAGAGUAACUGUUCACGUUUCGACGGUAUCUAACCAGAAAGCCACGGCUGACUACGUGCCAGCAGCCGCGGUAAUACGUAGGUGGCAAGCGUUAUCCGGAUUUAUUGGGCGUAAAGAGAACGCAGGCGGUCUUUUAAGUCUGAUGUGAAAGCCUUCGGCUUAACCGGAGUAGUGCAUUGGAAACU
rnacentral:rRNA from 1 species